CUGGACUGAUUUUUGAUUUUCUCUAUUCUUGACUUGCACGUCACCCGCCAUGUCAGGUGGCAUGGCACAAAAGAAUAUUUAUCACAUAAUAGAUAUACCAUGUCUAUUUUGUGAUUUUAUCGAUGAACAUUGUCUGGUGUGUACCAGGAGGAGAUUGGUUGCAAGUCAUUAAUAUAACGUUUUGCACCUGAAUUACUUUCGGAAUUGAUUUUCGGAAAUUGGAAACUUUACCUUCGCCGGUGACCUC